GGGCAGGGCAGGGCAGGGCAGGGCUGGGCUGGGCUGAGCUGGGCUGGGGCCGGCUCCGCAGGCGCCCGGAGCGCGGCGGCCUGGGGCGGCGGCGGGCUGCGCUUUCUCCCCUCGCGCCCCGUCUCCUUGCCAACCGGCCGUUCGCGUGUUUGUUUUCACGUCUAAAAGGAACGAUACAAAGAACGUUAGCCGGUCUGCCUCGAUUUGGGGCCAUCGGUGUAAUUCCCACAACUUCUCCAAAACUUGCGAGAGGAGGAAAGAGUUUCGGGGAAGGUCAGCCGCGCGGGUUCGGGGAGUGCCGUGUCCUGGACACAGCAAGCGCCCAGGAGUAAGUGCGGAGACGACGGCACCUGCCCCGAGGAGGACGUUUACGUGACUCUUCCUUCCAGGCACCCUCUGUGUGCCUGCAGGCUUGUCAGUGCCGACGCAGAAGUAUUCCCAGAGGAGCAUUUUUCUUAACGACGGGCGCUUGUCUAUCCUCUCUCUAAAGGGAAAGUCUUGGAAUAAGUAGACCGGUGUGUGUUAUGCUCCAGCUUGCACAUGGAAAUUUAACUAUCGGUGCCAUAAUAGGGACAGCUGAAGUUCAUCUCGUGUCUUCAUGAAUCUGUACGACGCCUUUCAUCGUAUUUCAGAGGUUAAUGUGCACGAUUAACCCUCUGGAUAGGAGUUCAUCUCUAAGCAAUGUGAAACAAAACUAAAAGAAGUACGUGUUACACCCAAUACAUACAAGAUCCGUAGUGAUGGAGAUGGGUCAGAUCUAGCCUUAGAGCAGGAGUGUUUCGGACCGUGUUCCUUUAAGAAUACCCUACUCUUCUGGCACUUUAGGGUGUUUUAAGUGUUUUUGUUAUUGUGAAUUCAUCACCUGGUGACCUUGUGGAUAUCUUCAAGCAGGCCUUCUGAACCUAAGCAGUGCCUCACUUAGUACUAGUGUGGAACUCGUUUUCACGGAGAGAAAGCAUUUGAAACCAGAACUUUCCAAGGGGUCACACUAACUGAAAUGAUACAUAUGGGAGAACAUAGUUUUCUAAAGUCCCUCCAUUCCUCAGCUUUUUAUAAAGAUCAUUUUAGUCUA